GUGGGGUAACGGCCUACCAAGCCGACGAUCCAUAGCUGGUUUGAGAGGAUGAUCAGCCACACUGGGACUGAGACACGGCCCAGACUCCUACGGGAGGCAGCAGUGGGGAAUCAUAGACAAUGGGGGCAACCCUGAUCUUGCCAUGCCGCGUGAGCGAUGAAGGCCCUAGGGUUGUAAAGCUCUUUCACCCGUGACGAUAAUGACGGUAGCGGGAGAAGAAGCCCCGGCUAACUCCGUGCCAGCUGCCGCGGUAAUACGGAGGGGGCUAGCGUUGUUCGGAAUUACUGGGCGUAAAGCGCACGUAGGCGGACCGGAAAGUUGGGGGUGAAAUCCCGGGGCUCAACCCUGGAACUGCCCUCAAAACUGUCGGUCUCUAGUCCGAGAGAGGUGAGUGGAAUUCCGAGUGUAGAGGUGAAAUUCGUAGAUAUUCGGAAGAACACCAGUGGCGAUGGCGGAUCCCUGGCUUGGUACUGACGCUGAAGUGCGAAAGCGUGUGGAGCAAACAUGAUUAGAUUCCCUGGUAUUCCUCGCCGUAUUGCGAGAGUGCCCAUGGUCGGGGCAGUUGGUGUUCGCCGUCCCCCUUAUCGGACUAUGGCACUUCUCCUGGGAGGACCAUGCGCAGGGUUAAUACUUCAAAGUAUUUGACGGGGGCCCCCCCCAUUUGUAGGGAGCUUGUGGUUUUAUUCGUAUCAAAGUUGUAUAAACUUUCCCCCUCUUGGAAUUUGGGGUCUGCGUUUUUCCCAUGAGGGAGUCUCUUGUUGUUAGAGUGGUUAUGCUGUGUUGGGUGGCCGGGUUGGGUU
rnacentral:rRNA from 1 species